rnacentral:rRNA from 1 species
ACGGGGUGCAGCAGGCGCGAAACCUCCGCAAUACACGAAAGUGUGACGGGGUUACCCAAAGUGUUCUAUUUAGAACUGUGGUAGGUGAGUAAUGUUCCCUACUAGAAAGGAGAGGGCAAGGCUGGUGCCAGCCGCCGCGGUAAAACCAGCUCUUCAAGUGGUCGGGAUAAUUAUUGGGCUUAAAGUGUCCGUAGCCGGUUUAGUAAGUUCCUGGUAAAAUCGGGUAGCUUAACUAUCUAUAUGCUAGGAAUACUGCUAUACUAGAGGGCGGGAGAGGUCUGAGGUACUACAGGGGUAGGGGUGAAAUCUUAUAAUCCUUGUAGGACCACCAGUGGCGAAGGCGUCAGACUGGAACGCGCCUGACGGUGAGGGACGAAAGCCAGGGGAGCGAACCGGAUUAGAUACCCGGGUAGUCCUGGCCGUAAACGAUGCAUACUAGGUGAUGGCACGGCCAUGAGCCGUGUCAGUGCCGUAGGGAAACCGUUAAGUGUGCCGCCUGGGAAGUACGGUCGCAAGGCUAAAACUUAAAGGAAUUGGCGGGGGAGCACCACAAGGGGUGAAGCCUGCGGUUCAAUUGGACUCAACGCCGGAAAACUUACCAGGGGAGACAGCAGUAUGACGGUCAGGUUGACGACCUUACCUAACGAGCUGAGAG